AUUGAACGCUGGCGGCAGGCCUAACACAUGCAAGUCGAGCGUGAAAGUUCCUUCGGGAGCGAGUAGAGCGGCGGACGGGUGAGUAACGCGUAGGAAUCUGCCCAGUAGUGGGGGACAACAUGGGGAAACUCAUGCUAAUACCGCAUACGCCCUAAGGGGGAAAGCAGGGGAUCUUCGGACCUUGCGCUAUUGGAUGAGCCUGCGUCGGAUUAGCUAGUUGGUGGGGUAAUGGCCUACCAAGGCGACGAUCCGUAGCUGGUCUGAGAGGAUGAUCAGCCACACUGGGACUGAGACACGGCCCAGACUCCUACGGGAGGCAGCAGUGGGGAAUAUUGGACAAUGGGGGAAACCCUGAUCCAGCCAUGCCGCGUGUGUGAAGAAGGCCUUCGGGUUGUAAAGCACUUUCAAUAGGGAGGAAAAGUUAAUGGCUAAUACCCAUUAACCCUGACGUUACCUAUAGAAGAAGCACCGGCAAACUCCGUGCCAGCAGCCGCGGUAAUACGGAGGGUGCGAGCGUUAAUCGGAAUUACUGGGCGUAAAGCGCGCGUAGGCGGUUUGAUUAGCUGGAUGUGAAAGCCCCGGGCUUAACCUGGGAAUUGCAUCCAGAACUGUCAGGCUAGAGUACAGUAGAGGUGAGUGGAAUUUCCUGUGUAGCGGUGAAAUGCGUAGAUAUAGGAAGGAACAUCAGUGGCGAAGGCGGCUCACUGGACUGAUACUGACGC
rnacentral:rRNA from 1 species